AACGAACGCUGGCGGCAUGCCUAACACAUGCAAGUCGAACGAGACCUUCGGGUCUAGUGGCGCACGGGUGCGUAACGCGUGGGAAUCUGCCCUUGGGUUCGGGAUAACAGUUGGAAACGACUGCUAAUACCGGAUGAUGACUUCGGUCCAAAGAUUUAUCGCCCAGGGAUGAGCCCGCGUAGGAUUAGCUAGUUGGUGAGGUAAAGGCUCACCAAGGCGACGAUCCUUAGCUGGUCUGAGAGGAUGAUCAGCCACACUGGGACUGAGACACGGCCCAGACUCCUACGGGAGGCAGCAGUGGGGAAUAUUGGACAAUGGGCGAAAGCCUGAUCCAGCAAUGCCGCGUGAGUGAUGAAGGCCUUAGGGUUGUAAAGCUCUUUUACCCGGGAUGAUAAUGACAGUACCGGGAGAAUAAGCCCCGGCUAACUCCGUG
rnacentral:rRNA from 1 species